rnacentral:rRNA from 1 species
UACGAAGGGGGCGAGCGUUGUUCGGAUUUACUGGGCGUAAAGCGCUUGUAGGCGGCCUGUCAAGUCGCGUGUGAAAUCCCCUGGCUUAACCAGGGAAGUGCGCGCGAAACUGAAGGGCUUGAGUGCCGGAGAGGGUCGCGGAAUUCCCGGUGUAGAGGUGAAAUUCGUAGAUAUCGGGAGGAACACCAGUGGCGAAGGCGGCUCACUGGCCCGAUACUGACGCUGAGGCGCGAAAGCCAGGGGAGCAAACGGG